UAAUUUGAAUGCAGAAAUGCAGAAUCCUCAGGUGUUGUAGUCUCGCUGUAUCUAUGAGACCGCUCGCAUUUCAUGUGCCGACACUGACGCCAGCGCGGUAAUGGAUUGAACUACCAUUCAUUGCAGAGCGCAUGCGCCAUAAAUUGUGCUGUGGACCUGUGGCACAGUGCCUGUGGAUGAGUAAUUGAGUAUUGAUCCAUGCAGUGUGGUAUUCUAUUCGAAAUAGGAUCUUUAAUAAAACCUACUGUCAAUAGUGAUCCUUGCGAAAGAAAUAUUAAGCUUUUUUCAUAAUUUUCACCAAUCCUUUGAUAGAUAAAUAUAUUGUUCUAGUUUCAAUAUAUACCGGUAGUAUCGAUAUCAAUCCUUCAGAGAGUAGUCACACAGCACAGCAGGACUAGUGAAGGAUGGGGUACUUUUCUUGCCAUAUGUGUGGUCGGUGUUAUACUCAUCAAGAAACUUGGCGAAAACAUCAGCGGUAUGAGUGCAAUCUUCCUCCAAGAUUCGAGUGUGAUUUUUGCGACUACAAAACUGCGCAGAAGUCAAAUCUCAAGCGGCAUAUGAACUCCCAUCAUGCAGACAAGAUCGCUCCCUCGAAGAAGCUAAGUCGGGUUCAAAAAAAUACACGUGCAGCACGUGUGAGCGCUCCUACAACUACAUAAAAAAUCUUCAAAGGCAUCAGCAAAACGAAUGCGGCGCCACUCCAAAGUUCCCUUGCAAUAUCUGUCUCUACAAAGCUACCCAGAAGGCAAAUCUGAAACGGCACAUGAUCUUCAAACAUCCUGAAAAAUGUCUACCACCCUUUCAAAUUACUUUUUGAAAAUUACUUUGUGUCAAUGAAUGUUACCGUAUUGAAUUUCACAUGUUUGUUUUUUGUGUAUUCUUGAUGUGAAGUGUGAAAUAAAUUUGAUUUUUUUCAAUCUUCUCAA